GCAUAUCAAUAAGCGGAGGAAAAGAAACCAACAGGGAUUGCCUCAGUAACGGCGUAAGUGAAGCGGCAAAAGCUCAAAUUUGAAAUCUGGCUCUUUCAGGGUCCGAUGUUGUAAUUUGUAGAAGAUGUUUCGGGUGUGGUCCCAGUCUAAGUUCCCUGGAACUGGACAUCACAGAGGGUGAGAAUCCCGUAUGUGACUGGGUACCUACGUCCAUGUGAAACUCUUUCGACGAGUCGAGUUGUUUGGGAAUGCAGCUCAAAAUGGGUGGUAAAUUUCAUCUAAAGCUAAAUAUUGGCCAGAGACCGAUAGCGCACAAGUAGAGUGAUCGAAAGAUGAAAAGCACUUUGGAAAGAGAGUUAAACAGUACGUGAAAUUGUUGAAAGGGAAGGGCAUGCAAUCAGACUUGCGCCUAGUUGAUCAUCCGGGCUUUUGCCCGGUGCACUCGAUUAGGCUCAGGCCAGCAUCAGUUUAGAGGGUUGGAUAAAGGCCUUGGGAAUGUGGCCCCUCUCGGGGGGUGUUAUAGCCCAAGGUGCAAUGCAGCCACUCUGGACUGAGGACCGCGCUUCGGCUAGGAUGCUGGCGUAAUGGUUGUAUGCCGCCCGUCUUGAAACACGGACCAAGGAGUCUAACAUCUAUGCGAGUAUUUGGGUGUUAAACCCAUAUGCGUAAUGAAAGUGAACGGAGGUGAGAGCCCUUAAGGGUGCAUCAUCGACCGAUCCUGAUGUCUUCGGAUGGAUUUGAGUAAGAGCAUAGCUGUUGGGACCCGAAAGAUGGUGAACUAUGCGUGAAUAGGGUGAAGCCAGAGGAAACUCUGGUGGAGGCUCGCAGCGGUUCUGACGUGCAAAUCGAUCGUCAAAUUUGCGUAUAGGGGCGAAAGACUAAUCGAACCAUCUAGUAGCUGGGUUCCUGCCGAA
rnacentral:rRNA from 1 species